rnacentral:rRNA from 1 species
CAGCAGCCACGGUAAUACGAAGGGGGCUAGCGUUGUUCGGAAUUACUGGGCGUAAAGGGCGCGUAGGCGGCCAUUCAAGUUAGAUGUGAAAGCCCUGGGCUCAACCUAGGAAUUGCAUUUGAUACUGUUUGGCUUGAGUUCGGGAGAGGUGAGUGGAAUUCCCAGUGUAGAGGUGAAAUUCGUAGAUAUUGGGAAGAACACCAGUGGCGAAGGCGGCUCACUGGACCGACACUGACGCUGAGGCGCGAAAGCGUGGGGAGCAAACAGGAUUAGAUACCCGGGUAGUCCCUGUCUCUUAUAC